CUACGUAGGGGGCGAGCGUUGUCCGGAAUGAUUGGGCGUAAAGGGCGCGUAGGCGGCUUUGCAAGUCAGUAGUGGAAGUCCAUUUUUCAAGGAUGGAAGUGCUACAGAAACUGCGGAGCUUGAGUGCAGGAGAGGUUAUCGGAAUUCCCGGUGUAGCGGUGAAAUGCGUAGAGAUCGGGAGGAACACCAGUGGCGAAGGCGGGUAACUGGACUGCAACUGACGCUGAGGCGCGAAAGUGUGGGGAGCAAACAGGAUUAGAUACCCUGGUAGUCCACGCUGUAAACGAUGAUUACUAGGUGUGGGGGGACUGACCCCUUCCGUGCCGCAGUUAACACAAUAAGUAAUCCACCUAGGGAGUACGGCCGCAAGGUUGAAACUCAAAUGAAUUGACGGGG
rnacentral:rRNA from 1 species